UACGGAGGAUGCAAGCGUUAUCCGGAAUGAUUGGGCGUAAAGGGUCCGCAGGUGGCAGUGUAAGUCUGCUGUCAAAGAAUGAGGCUUAACCUCAUCAAGGCAGUGGAAACUACACAGCUAGAGUACGGUCGGGGUAGAAGGAAUUCCUGGUGUAGCGGUGAAAUGCGUAGAGAUCAGGAAGAACACCGGUGGCGAAAGCGGCUCUCUGGACCGAGACUGACGCUGAGGCGCGAAAGCGUGGGGAGCAAACAGG
rnacentral:rRNA from 1 species